rnacentral:rRNA from 1 species
GAUGAACGCUGGCGGCGUGCCUAAUACAUGCAAGUCGAGCGAUCAGACGAGGAGCUUGCUCCUCUGACGUUAGCGGCGGACGGGUGAGUAACACGUGGAUAACCUACCUAUAAGACUGGGAUAACUUCGGGAAACCGGAGCUAAUACCGGAUAAUAUAUUGAACCGCAUGGUUCAAUAGUGAAAGACGGUUUUGCUGUCACUUAUAGAUGGAUCCGCGCCGCAUUAGCUAGUUGGUAAGGUAACGGCUUACCAAGGCAACGAUGCGUAGCCGACCUGAGAGGGUGAUCGGCCACACUGGAACUGAGACACGGUCCAGACUCCUACGGGAGGCAGCAGUAGGGAAUCUUCCGCAAUGGGCGAAAGCCUGACGGAGCAACGCCGCGUGAGUGAUGAAGGUCUUCGGAUCGUAAAACUCUGUUAUUAGGGAAGAACAAAUGUGUAAGUAACUAUGCACGUCUUGACGGUACCUAAUCAGAAAGCCACGGCUAACUACGUG